CAUAGUUGUUAAGGAGGCUUGCAUAGAAAAAAAGGAAACCAAAAUAUUUAAGGACUGGUUUUAGCAUUAAUUACAUAAUUUAUAAAUUAUCUUACAUAGUUAUGAAUUCUGAACAAUUCUGAAGGGCCUAAUCCACUUAGCCCUUAACUCUGCUAACAUGCAGGUCUACUUAUCUAUAAAGAGAGGCAACAAUUUGAACAUUGCUAUGGACAUCUGUAGACAUCUUUCAGUGGGAAGCUGAAAAAUUUUCACUAUAGGAAGACAUUACCAUUUCUGGCAAUGGUCAGAUCACCAGAUUCCAGGGGGAGGUCAGGUCCAUGCUCUUUCUACUGCAUCCUGCUGACAAGAAGGGAAAGUGUGGGAACUGAUGGAGGUUCAGCAGGCUCUGUUGUCAGCCCAACAAAAGCACCAAAGAAGUUUCCUGGCUGACAUUUUACUACAUCAUCACGUACGGCGAACUGGAUUGUGAAUGCCCUUAGAUGCCAUUGGAAGGGAUUUAGAUUUCACUUUCUAAGUAGGCAAUGCGAGUCCAUUCAGAGAUUGUGAAGUGGAAGAAUAUCAUGAUCAGAUCUGUGUGGCUGAUGAAUAGAGACAAAUCUGAUGUCUGGGGUUAUAUUAUUG
rnacentral:lncRNA from 1 species